GACGAACGCUGGCGGCGUGCUUAACACAUGCAAGUCGAACGGAAAGGCCCUGCUUUUGUGGGGUGCUCGAGUGGCGAACGGGUGAGUAACACGUGAGUAACCUGCCCUUGACUUUGGGAUAACUUCAGGAAACUGGGGCUAAUACCGGAUAGGAGCUCCUGCUGCAUGGUGGGGGUUGGAAAGUUUCGGCGGUUGGGGAUGGACUCGCGGCUUAUCAGCUUGUUGGUGGGGUAGUGGCUUACCAAGGCUUUGACGGGUAGCCGGCCUGAGAGGGUGACCGGCCACAUUGGGACUGCGAUACGGCCCAGACUCCUACGGGAGGCAGCAGUGGGGAAUAUUACACAAUGGGCGGAAGCCUGAUGCAGCAACGCCGCGUGCGGGAUGCCGGCCUUCGGGUUGUAAACCGCUUUCGCCUGUGACGAAGCGUGAGUGACGGUAAUGGGUAAAGAAGCACCGGCUAACUACGUG
rnacentral:rRNA from 1 species